UCCCAGACUCCUACGGGAGGCAGCAGUGAGGAAUAUUGGUCAAUGGGCUUACGCCUGAACCAGCCAAGUCGCGUGAGGGAAGACUGCCCUAUGGGUUGUAAACCUCUUUUGUCAGGGAGCAAUUGGCGCUACGUGUAGCGUUAUCGAGAGUACCUGAAGAAAAAGCACCGGCUAACUCCGUGCCAGCAGCCGCGGUAAUACGGAGGGUGCGAGCGUUAUCCGGAUUUACUGGGUGUAAAGGGAGCGCAGGCGGCACGGCAAGCCUGAUGUGAAAGCCCGCGGCCCAACCGCGGGACUGCAUUGGGAACUGCCGGGCUGGAGUGCCGGAGAGGUAGGCGGAAUUCCUAGUGUAGCGGUGAAAUGCGUAGAUAUUAGGAGGAACACCAGUGGCGAAGGCGGCCUACUGGACGGUGACUGACGCUGAGGCUCGAAAGCGUGGGGAGCAAACAGGAUUAGAUACCCCGGUA
rnacentral:rRNA from 1 species